rnacentral:rRNA from 1 species
GACGAACGCUGGCGGUGUGCUUAACACAUGCAAGUCGAACGCAGUGGCGAACGGGUGAGUAACGCGUAAACAACCUGCCCUUCAGAGGGGGACAACAGGUGGACACGACUGCUAAUACCGCAUACUGAGGGAGGGGCUUGCGUCUGCUUAGCUAGGUGGGGGGGAACCGGCCCACCAAGGCGAUGAUCAGUAGCCGGUCUGAGAGGAGGAACGGCCAAAUUGGGACUGGGAAACGGCCCAGACUCCUACGGGAGGCAGCAGUGGGGAAUCUUCCGCAAUGGACGAAAGUCUGACGGAGCAACGCCGCCGGAGUGAUGACGGCCUUCGGGUUGUAAAGCUCUGUUAAUCGGGACGCGGUACCGGAAUAGAAAGCCACGGCUAACUACGUGCCAGCAGCCGCGGUAAUUC